CCUGACAUUUUCGAGUGGGGUUUGAACAGGAAGGCGGACAUGUUGGCCAGGCUGCGGGAAGAGAAAAUCAGGCAUCGUCUGCUCGGCUCUUUUUCGGACACCAACCCUCCCCGGGAUCUUAUUUAUCACUUUUUGGCCUAAGAGGAAGAGCAUCUUGAAGGGGAACACGUUCACGAAGCGAUGACAAUGCUCUGGACGCAGCGCACGGGGCGCACUUUGACGCUCUGACGACGCCGCGUUCAGACUCAGACAAAUUUGUCAUAAGCAGAAGUUUUUUCCAGCCACUUCUACUUUUGAGCUGUCACAGUCGCUCGCGUUACUUCACAAACUUGGGACAUACCUGGAAACGGGCCUGGAUUGUAUAUAUUUUGUGCGAUCGUGCUUCCCGAGUGGACUUUCCCUGUAGAUUUUGAAUAGUCUUUUGUUUGGAUGCUGCUACAUUUUAAGCCCUUAUCCUCUGGCAUCCUGCGGACUAAUCUGUCGCCGCAUUUAUCUUUUGCCUGUGAAGUUCUCAAUCACACUUGGAAAAAUACCUUUUGACACCGAUCAUGUGGCUUUUGUACAUCCAGCGCAAUCUUAAACGUUUUAUUGUUGGCGAAAGCUCGAGAUGAACGAUGUAUUUUUUUUGAAGCGCAAAGUUGGGAGGCAGACAGAACAUUUGGUUAGCUUCCGCAGGCUGCUAAGUUAAGCUAGCCUCGCCACAGCUGUUUUUGCAUAGAAUCAAGCAUCGGGACUGAAUUUAGCUGUAAAAAUGUCUAAUGCGGAACCCAUGGAGGCUCGGUUUGAGAAAAUCGAUGCCAUGUUGAAGGACCCGAAGUCGGAAAUCAACACGGACUGUCUCCUGGACGGCUUGGAUGCUCUGGUGUACGACCUGGACUUUCCUGCCCUGAGGAAAAACAAGAGCAUUGACAAUUUCUUGAAUAGAUAUAAAGAAACAAUUAGUAAAAUACGGGACCUGCGCAUGAAAGCAGAGGACUAUGAAGUUGUCAAAGUCAUUGGAAGAGGAGCUUUUGGGGAGGUCCAGUUGGUCAGACACAGGGCUACAUGCAAAGUCUACGCCAUGAAGCUGCUUAGUAAGUUUGAGAUGAUCAAGAGGUCGGACUCGGCGUUCUUCUGGGAGGAGAGGGACAUCAUGGCGUUUGCUAAUAGCUCCUGGGUAGUGCAGCUCUUUUUUGCUUUCCAAGACGACCGCUACCUCUACAUGGUGAUGGAGUACAUGCCCGGCGGAGAUUUGGUGAAUUUAAUGAGCAACUACGACGUCCCAGAGAAGUGGGCGCGGUUUUACACAGCGGAGGUGGUGCUAGCCCUGGACGGGAUCCACUCUAUGGGGUUCAUUCACAGAGAUGUCAAGCCAGAUAACAUGUUGCUAGACAAAACAGGCCAUUUAAAACUUGCAGACUUCGGGACCUGUAUGAAAAUGAACAAGGACGGUAUGGUACGAUGCGAUACGGCGGUGGGCACUCCAGAUUACAUUUCGCCCGAGGUACUGAAAUCCCAGGGAGGAGACGGUUACUACGGCAGAGAGUGCGACUGGUGGUCCGUGGGGGUCUUUCUAUAUGAAAUGCUUGUUGGCGACACUCCGUUCUAUGCAGACUCCCUGGUGGGCACCUACAGCAAAAUCAUGAACCACAAGAACGCCCUGACGUUUCCAGACGACAGCGACAUCUCCAACGAUGCCAAGAAUCUCAUCUGUGCUUUUCUGACUGACAGGGAGGUUCGGUUGGGCCGCAAUGGUGUGGAUGAAAUUAAGAGGCACCCGUUCUUUAAGAAUGACCAGUGGACGUGGGAGAACAUAAGGGAGACGGCUGCUCCAGUGGUGCCAGAGCUGAGCAGUGACAUCGACACCAGUAACUUUGACGACAUCGAGGAGGACCGAGGAGAGGAGGAGACCUUCCCCAUCCCCAAGGCCUUCGUGGGCAACCAGCUCCCAUUCGUAGGCUUCACUUACUACAGCAGCCAGCACCUAUUACGCAGCCCCUCCAGCACUAAAACCACUGAAAAACGCAGCAGCACCACGAAGGAAGACAAGAGCCAUCUUGAAAACCUCCAAAAAAGGAUCUACCAGCUGGAGGAGCAGCUGCACAGUGAGAUGCAGCUGAAGGAUGAGUUGGAGCAGAAAUGCAGGACCUCAAAUACCAAGAUUGAGAAGAUCAUGAAAGAACUGGAUGAAGAGAUGAACCAGAGGAAAAGUGCGGAGGGCAGCACGUCCCUCCUGGAGAAGGAAAAGAUGAUGGCGCAGCACCGGCUCACAGAGGCUCAGAGGAAGGCCGAGCAGGAGGCGGAGAAGAGACGCAACCUGGAGAACGAAGUGUCAACAUUAAAGGAGCAGCUUGAAGACAUGAGGAAAAUCAGUCAGAACUCCCAGGCUUCAAACGAUAAGAUCCUUCAGCUACAAAACCAGCUGCAGGAGGCCAACGACCUUUUGAGAGCCGAGUCGGACACCGCGGCGCGCCUGAGGAAGAACCAGUCGGAGAUGGCCAAGACCAUGAGCCAACUGGAGAGCCUGAACCGCGAACUCCAGGAACGAGUGAGGGCGGCCGACGGGGACAAGGCCCAGCUGGAGAAGGAGGUCCUGGUCCUACAGAGCACACUGGAGUCGGAGAGGAGGAACUACAGCCAGGGCUCCGAGGAGAUCCACGAACUGCAAGCGCGGAUGGCCGGACUAAUAGAGGACAACAAAAACUUGAAGCUCAGUUUGUCUAAAGUGGAAUCUGAACGCAAACACGCACAGGAGAGGAGCAACCAUUUAGAAAAGGAGAUGAACAACCUGGAGAUCGACCUGAACUACAAGCUGAAGACCCUGCAGCAGCGGCUGGAGCAGGAGCAGACGGAGCACAGGGUGACACGGGCCCAGCUCACCGACAAGUACGAGUCCAUCGAAGAGGCCAAGUCCGCAGCAAUGAACGCUGUGCAGCAGAAGAUGUCAGAGGAGAACGGGGCGCGGAUGCGGGCGGAGAGCCGGGUGGUGGAGGUGGAGAAGCAGUGCUCCAUGCUGGAGUUUGACCUGAAGCAGUCGGUCCAGAAGAUGGAGCAGCUCAUGAAGCAGAAGGAACGCCUGGAAGAUGAGGUGAAGAGUGUGAGGAUUCAGCUGGAGCAGGAGCUGAGCAAAAGGAGCCAGGUGCAGGGCGACUUAAAAAGCCGCACUCAUGAGGUGGACCGUCUGCGCUGCUCUGAGAAGCAGAUGAAGCAGGACAUCAACACAGCCCUGGAGUCCAAGAGGUCACUGGAGUUUCAGCUCGCACAGCUCACAAAGCAAUACAGAGGCAACGAAGGACAGAUGAGGGAACUUCAGGAUCAACUGGAGGCAGAACAGUAUUUUUCUACGCUUUAUAAAACUCAGGUUAAGGAGCUGAAAGAAGAGAUAGAAGAAAAGAAUCGGCAAGUUCAGGACGCUCAGAAGAAGGUGCAGGACUUGUGCAGUGAAAGGGACUCUCUGUCGGCUCAGUUGGACUUGACAGUGACCAAAGCGGAGUCGGAACAGUUGGCCCGGGCGCUGCAGGAGGAGCAGUACUUUGAGCUGAGCCAAGAGAACAAGAAGGCUCUGGCCCGACACAAGCAGGAGAUGAGCGAGAAGGACGUCACAAUCUCCAGGCUCGAGGAAUCGAAUAAAACUCUGACCAAAGAUGUGGAGAAUCUGAGUAAAGAGAAGGCGGAGCUAAGUGACAAGCUGCAGACUCAAGAGGAAGUGUACGAAGGACAGAAGGAAGAAAUUGCAAACUCACUCAAAGCUAAUUAUGAGAAAGUUCUCAACACUGAGCGCACACUUAAGACACAGGCGGUGAACAAACUGGCCGAGAUCAUGAACCGGAAAGACAUGAAACUGGACCAGAAGAAGAAGGGCAGCACGGCCGACUUGAGAAAGAAGGAGAAGGAAAACCGCAAACUGCAGCUGGAGCUCAACCAGGAGAAGGAGAAGUUCAACCACAUGGCCAUCAAGUACCAGAAGGAGCUGAGCGAGAUGCAGGCCCAACUGGCAGAGGAGUGCACGUACCGUAAUGAGCUGCAGAUGCAGUUGGACAGUAAAGAGAGCGACAUCGAGCAGCUGAGGGAGAAACUCAACGACCUGCAGCAGAGGAUUGACAACUCCAGUGUGACCAGUCUCCAGCCCGACGAGACCGACAGCAACAUCGCCGAAUCCAGACUUGAGGGUUGGCUGUCCAUUCCUAACCGCGCUAAUAUCAAGCGCUACGGCUGGAAGAAGCAGUAUGUGGUAGUAAGCAGCAAGAAAAUCCUGUUCUACAAUGACGAGCAGGAUAAGGAGCAGUCCAAUCCCUCCAUGGUACUAGAUAUAGAUAAAUUGUUCCAUGUCAGACCCGUGACACAAGGAGACGUGUACCGAGCGGAAACGGACGAGAUUCCCAGAAUAUUCCAGAUCCUGUAUGCCAACGAGGGCGAGUGCCGGAAGGACGCCGAGGUGGAGACGGUCCCUCAGGGCGACAAAACCAACUGCCUCCCACACAAAGGCCACGAGUUCAUCCCCACGCUCUACCACUUCCCCUCCAACUGUGAGGCGUGUGCCAAACCGCUGUGGCACGUCUUUAAGCCCCCGCCCGCCCUCGAGUGUCGCCGCUGCCACGUGAAGUGCCACAAGGACCACCUCGACAAGAAGGAGGAGGUCAUCACUCCAUGCAAAGUAAACUACGACGUGACCUCUGCGCGGGACAUGCUCCUACUGGCCCUCACCCAGGACGAGCAGAAGAAGUGGAUCGGCCAUCUUGGAAAGAAGAUUCCCAAAACGCCGCCCACGUUCUCCCGAUCCUCUCCCCGCAACGUGUCUGCCCGCUCCGGACAUGUUAAUCAGUCUUUCCGGAAAAAACCCUAAAAGCAAUUCAACAAAACUGAGCAAAGCGCAGUCCAACCUCAACGCAGCAAACACCACGUCCAGCACUUGUUGACAGCAGCCACUCCACAAAGCCUUGAUCUAACCGUCUGAACCAUCGUAUUCUGUUUUGGACUAUACUAUUACCCCCCUCCUCCUCAAAAUUCAUUGAGUACAUAUCCUAGCCAGCGAUGGAGGUCAAAGCGAUAUUCGAAAGCCCUGUUGAACCAGCGUUAUGUACCAGAAGAUGACACACUUCUUUAAAAAAAAAAUGUGGACAAAAAACAGAGGCAGUUUUUCAAUACCUGACAUUUCUUUUACAAAAUGAUAUCCGUUUUGCUUCCAUCACAAAAUGCAAAAAUAUCGGGUUCAAGAAAAGACUUUUUUUUGCCUUCAUGUUUCACUGUUUGUUUUUUGGCCGCGUUGCCUUUUUCCUCAUCACUUAUCAGGUUUGGGACUAUAGUAUUUUGGAGAGAGGAGCAUGCAAGAUCAUCAUUAAAUAAAUCUAUGCAUUCUUUUUAGUAUAAUUAUUUUUAUUGCUCCAAGCCAUAAAAGGAAGCUUCCGUUGUCAUGGCAAACAGGAGUCCGAAAACUCAAUGAUUUUUUUUUUUUUCUGUUUAUUUGGUACAUUGUAAUAUUUUCUUGUAUUUUUUGUAAUGUAUUGCCUUACAUUGAUUCAUAGAUAAAUGGUUCAAAAAGGAAAACAUUAAGUUAACAAAUGUAAAACUGCACUGUUUGAAUUGUAAAUUAUUUGUAGAAGACUAAACAGGUGUAGCAUUUGGCCCACCUAGUGCCUUAACGUUCGGAUAUUGAUUUUACUGCCAUAUCUUUUCUCGUCUCUUUUCUUUCUCCAAAACAAGACAAAUCUUAACUCUUCCAUCAAUUUAUUUUUUAAGAAAUCGCCACUAGUUUUGUGGUUUUACCUUUUCUCUGGUUUUGAGUAUAUAAAUAUAUAUAUUAGAUUACCUCUUUAUUGACACAUUGCAAUAGCGUUGGUGUGUCCAAGAAAAGUUCACGGCUGUCAUUCAUAUCACAUCACAUGACAAGCGAGCCUACGUGUUGUCCAAGCGAGCCUACAUGCGUCAAAUAACUUUGUUCACUUUUAAAGGCUGUUUUUCAAUAUUGUGACGUCCUGAAAAUGCUAAGCCCCCCACAGUGUAUAUACAGACAUAAGGAUUAUGGAAUACCUCCUCAAUCUUUUAUUUGAAAAGUUUGUUCAGUUAAAAAAAGCACUGGAACUAUGAUCUACUCUUGUCUUGGAUAAUUUGCAUGGUUAAUUGCAUUGGAGUCCGCACUGAUGGAUAUGUCAAUAAACAUAUCUUUAUCAUUCA